ACUCAAAUGAAUUGACGGGGGCCCGCACAAGCGGUGGAGCAUGUGGUUUAAUUCGACGCAACGCGAAGAACCUUACCUGGGCUUGAACUGACAUGGACCGGUGCAGAGAUGUGCCUUUUCGCAAGAACUGUGUCAGAGGUGCUGCAUGGCUGUCGUCAGCUCGUGUCGUGAGAUGUUGGGUUAAGUCCCGCAACGAGCGCAACCCUUACCCCUAGUUGCCAGCGCGUCAUGGCGGGAACUCUAGAGGGACUGCCCGGGUUAACCGGGAGGAAGGUGGGGAUGAUGUCAAGUCCUCAUGGCCCUUAUGUCCAGGGCUACACACGUGCUACAAUGGGCGAUACAAACCGUUGCGAAACUGCGAAGUGGAGCUAAUCGGAGAAAGUCGUCCUCAGUUCGGAUUGCAGUCUGCAACUCGACUGCAUGAAGGUGGAAUCGCUAGUAAUCGUGUAUCAGAAUGAUACGGUGAAUACGUUCCCGGGCCUUGUACACACCGCCCGU
rnacentral:rRNA from 1 species